rnacentral:snoRNA from 1 species
GCAUGGGUUUGGAUUUAUGACAGGCCUGUCCCCCUAGGCCUGUCAUAGUAACCCAUGCCAGAGCAAACUGUGUCCCCAAACCAUUGCCUGGCCUCUAUGCCCGUAGGCUGCUAGCACUGAAGUGGGUUGCACAGUG